rnacentral:rRNA from 1 species
GACGAACGCUGGCGGCGUGCUUAACACAUGCAAGUCGAACGGAAAGGCCCUGCUUUUGUGGGGUGCUCGAGUGGCGAACGGGUGAGUAACACGUGAGUAACCUGCCCUUGACUUUGGGAUAACUUCAGGAAACUGGGGCUAAUACCGGAUAGGAGCUCCUGCUGCAUGGUGGGGGUUGGAAAGUUUCGGCGGUUGGGGAUGGACACGUGGCUUAUCAGCUUGUUGGUGGGGUAGUGGCUUACCAAGGCUUUGACGGGUAGCCGGCCUGAGAGGGUGACCGGCCACAUUGGGACAGGGAUGGGGGCAGGAGUGCUACGGGAGGCAGCAGUGGGGAAUAGUGCACAAUGGGCGGAAGCCUGAUGCAGCAACGCCGCGUGCUGGAUGACGGCCUGCGGGGUGUAACCCGCUUUCGCCUGUGACGAAGCGUGAGUGACGGUAAUGGGUAAAGAAGCACCGGCUAACUACGUG